rnacentral:rRNA from 1 species
UACAGGGGGGGCAAGCGUUGUUCGGAAUUACUGGGCGUAAAGGGUCUGUAGGUGGCCAACUAAGUCAGACGUGAAAUCCCUCAGCUUAACUGGGGAACUGCGUCUGAUACUGGAUGGCUCGAGUGUGGGAGAGGAAUGCGGAAUUCCAGGUGUAGAGGUGAAAUUCGUAGAUAUCGGGAGGAACACCGGUGGCGAAGGCGGCGACCUGGGUAGAUACUGACGCUGAGGCGCGAAAGCGUGGGGAGCAAACAGG